rnacentral:rRNA from 1 species
UACAGAGGGUGCAAGCGUUAAUCGGAAUUACUGGGCGUAAAGCGUGCGCAGGCGGUUAUGUAAGACCGGUGUGAAAUCCCCGGGCUUAACCUGGGAACUGCAUUUGUGACUGCAUAGCUAGAGUACGGUAGAGGGGGAUGGAAUUCCGCGUGUAGCAGUGAAAUGCGUAGAUAUGCGGAGGAACACCGAUGGCGAAGGCAAUCCCCUGGACCUGUACUGACGCUCAUGCACGAAAGCGUGGGGAGCAAACAGG